rnacentral:rRNA from 1 species
UACGUAGGGUGCGAGCGUUAAUCGGAUUUACUGGGCGUAAAGCGAGCGCAGGUGGUUUAAUAAGUCUGAUGUAAAAGGCAGUGGCUCAACCAUUGUGUGCAUUGGAAACUGUUAGACUUGAGUGCAGUAGAGGAGAGUGGAAUUCCAAGUGUAGCGGUGAAAUGCGUAGAGAUUUGGAGGAACACCAGUGGCGAAGGCGACUGUCUGGUCUGUAACUGACACUGAAACUCGAAAGCUGGGGGAGCAAACAGG